CAGCCGCCGCGGUAAUACGAAGGGGGCUAGCGUUGCUCGGAAUGACUGGGCGUAAAGGGCGCGUAGGCGGUUCUACAAGUUAGAUGUGAAAUUCCUGGGCUCAACCUGGGGACUGCAUUUGAUACUGUGGGGCUUGAGUAUGGAAGAGGGUCGUGGAAUUCCCAGUGUAGAGGUGAAAUUCGUAGAUAUUGGGAAGAACACCGGUGGCGAAGGCGGCGACCUGGUCCAUAACUGACGCUGAGGCGCGAAAGCGUGGGGAGCAAACAGGAUUAGAUACCCGUGUAGUCCCUGUCUCUUAUAC
rnacentral:rRNA from 1 species